rnacentral:rRNA from 1 species
CCUACGGGCGGCAGCAGUGGGGAAUAUUGGACAAUGGGGGCAACCCUGAUCCAGCCAUGCCGCGCGUGUGAAGAAGGCCCUCGGGUUGUAAAGCACUUUCAGUGAGGAAGAACGCCUGGUGGUUAAUACCCAUCAGGAAAGACAUCACUCACAGAAGAAGCACCGGCUAACUCCGUGCCAGCAGCCGCGGUAAUACGGAGGGGUGCGAGCGUUAAUCGGAAUUACUGGGCGUAAAGCGCGCGUAGGUGGCUUGAUAAGCCGGUUGUGAAAGCCCCGGGCUCAACCUGGGAACGGCAUCCGGAACUGUCAAGCUAGAGUGCAGGAGAGGAAGGUAGAAUUCCCGGUGUAGCGGUGAAAUGCGUAGAGAUCGGGAGGAAUACCAGUGGCGAAGGCGGCCUUCUGGACUGACACUGACACUGAGGUGCGAAAGCGUGGGUAGCAAACAGGAUUAGAUACCCUGGUAGUC